rnacentral:lncRNA from 1 species
AGCCUGCCUCCCUAUUGUCCCGCAGCCCCACCGUGACUGCCCUGGGAGGGCUUUGCUGACAGCCCCCAUCGCUCCCCCAGUCUGAAGUGUGCCCCCUCUCUGGGUGCCCUCACACCCACUGCAAAUCUCUACCCAGCUCCCAGUCCCCACAUGCCAAGGUGGGUUGGCUUGUCUGCCUCCCUCAGGUGGACAUCCUGAGAAAGCAGUGUUUUAAAAAUCUAUUUUAGAGCUCAUUUCAUAGCCAAGUAGGACUCAAGAUACAAACAUCCUUUUGACACAGAACAGAAGAGAAAUGUGUCUAAUUUAGAAGUGAAGCCAGUGUCUAUUUGGUCUCUCACUCAUAUGUUUUUUAAGAAAAUGCUCUAAAAUUUUAAGUUUUUACUGCAACAAAUCCUCUGGAUUAGGUUGAUGUCAUGUCCCCUAGGAAAGUAAAUUUUUUUUUCUGUUGUUGUUAGUUUAUUUUGGGGCAGAAUAGGGUCCUCAUGACUGCCUGGGUCCACGGCAUCCCUAGACUCCUAUGAAUUUGGAAUGCUGUCCAUCCAGCCCCGCCUGGUCAGAAGUCCAUAUAAUCCUGAUGAUAAUGAAAACCAGCAUGUAUAAAGCCCCUUCUGCAUGCCAGGGAGCUACUAUCACAAGAACGCCUCGCAACAAUGCAGGAGGUGAAGUACUGUUUUUAUUCUACCAAUUUUGCUGGGGUCUUAUGAGGCUGGUUACAGGGUAGAUGCAAAGUGCAGAGGGGCUGGGAGCCUGGGCCCCUUCAGGGCAUAGGGAAGCUGCAGCACCACCUCCAACCUUUGUCAUGGGGUGUGAGUGGGCACUGCCCUCUGGAUGGGAACACUUCCUUUCUACCUGUCCUGCAGUUCAAAAGUGGUUCCCUGCCUCCCAAUGGCAUAUACCCUGCCUCAACUUCUGGUUUGUCAGCUCAGAGAGCCUCUAUAAGAUCCUGCUCCAAUCUCUGAACUUCUGUGCAUUUAAAACACAUGAUAAAGUCAUUGAGUGUACUUUAAAGAAUCAAACUGGACUGAAUGUAUAAAUCUAAAUUUGUUGCUUUUAGAAUAGUUAAUAUUUAUUAUGUUAAUUAUAUUUA